rnacentral:lncRNA from 1 species
UAAUUUAUAUCAAUUUUCAGUAAAUACAGUCGUUAUUAAUAUCAUUUCCUUCGGUGAGGUUCGUGUGGCUCAGUCUUUAUUUUUUUAUGUUGUGUUUUGUAUACUGUUGUUUUUUUAUCAUCUUUUUUCUUUUUAGCCAUGGUGUUAUUAGUUUGAAUGACCCUUUGGUAUCUUUUGUCUCUCUUAUAUAGAAGUACCACGACAAGUGUCAUUUUAAAGCAAGAUCUGCUAAAUCUUACGGAGCACAUGCUAUCCCCCACGGUCUGAACAAAACCUUUUGGUGCCCAGUUUUUGAUGUUCGAUCUUAUGUUUUGUAGACUGUUGUUUGCCUUAUGGUCGUUUUGGGAUUUUUAUCAGUUUUUUUGUUCAGUUGAGAUUGAAUGUCCGUAUGGUAUCCUUUGCUUCUCUUUAAAAUGUAGAUUAGUAACGUUCUAUCGUCAAUACCCAACUCUUUGAAUGACGAACAAUACCAUAUUCAGAUUCCAACACUAUAUCUCGACCAAUAUGCUUCACAAGGUAAAUAAGAGAAUGUCCAGUGAAAUUGGAACGUUGAAAGAACCAACCUCUAUGAAAUCGACCAAAAACACAAGUGCAAGCACCCCC